UUCCUGGUGGUCCAGUGGUUAGGACUCUGAGCUUUCAUUGCCAUGGCCUGGGUUCAAUCCCUGGUCAGGAAA
rfam:Ovis aries breed Texel chromosome 6, whole genome shotgun sequence.